GCCUGGGUGGCUCAGUCAGUUAAGCGUCUGACUUCAGCUCAGGUCACGAUCUCACGGUCCGUGAGUUCGAGCCCCGCGUCAGGCU
rnacentral:tRNA from 1 species